CUAAGAUCAUGACCUAAACCAAAAUCAAGAGUUGGACAUGUAAUUAGCUGAGCCACCUAGGCACCCCUUAUAAUAAAUUAUUAAUUUAACAGUUGCAUAAACAAAGUUAUAAACUGUAUAAGUAAGCAAACAUAUCCAUUUCCUAAGGAAACCCACUGUUUCUUCCAGUGCCAAAUGGAAGCUCCAACUCCUGCCUCUCUCUUCAUUGGGCUGUUAAUCCCAAGCUGUCUGGAUGUGACGUUUGCUCAUCACAUUCAACCAUACAUCAACAUCUCCAAACAGGAAUUAUGUUUGAGAUGUGAUAAAAACUGGUGAUGGCAUGGCAAAAUUGAUAUAGAUGAUGGUGUAAUUUGCUUAAAGAACGUGCUUGAAACAGGAUUUGGGAGUCGUUCCGUUUGGUCUCCGGCUGGAAGGUAUCACAGGAGUUAGCCAACACUACAUCAUUAAGCUGGAAUAACAGAACAGCUAAAAGUGAAUUCAUCUGUGUGGGCAGGCAUUUUGGACUACUUCGUUGAUAGCACCAUAUGUUAGCUACAGUUGGCAUUCCACAGAGGAUUGCAAAUGUUUACAGAUGCUUUGAGGGAGACGUUCCUUGUGUUGAGAGGCUUGGCACUUGGAGAAGCUUGCCCAGGAAAGAUGACAUAAAGCCUAUCCUCAUCCUCCAUGAAAGCCACAGUUCCUGGGUCACUAAGGAUGGACAGAACCAAGCCCUGCCCGAGCUCUUGCAUCAUGGGAACAUGAUCGAAGGCAGCAGGGCAGACAGCUUUUAUCAAGCUGUUAAAGAGUAUCAGCCAAUGACCACCAUCGGACAAGAUACACUUACAAUUCCUUUGAAUUUCAUGGGAACUAUUGGAUCCUCACACGGGGUAUGGUGAUUUGUGUUUCUUGGAACCAGGACAGUCUGACUCUAUGUUCCCAACAGUGUGCUCCUGGUGAGCUGUGAGAUAAUGAUGGUUGUAAAUGUUUAAUACUGCUGAAAAUUUUAAUACUAGUUUUUCAACUUGUCAAAAUUCACGGUAUUUGAAAUCAUGUUUGAACAUGAUUCUUGUGGCUCUGUCCUUAAUAUUUUGGGGCUGCAGUUUUGCCACAGAGAACACUAGAGACUGCCUAACACAUUUCUUUCCUGUUCCCCUUACAUUCCACAGAGUCAGUCCCUUUGUUUUGACUCCUAUUGAGAAGGAAGUCAUUAUUCCUCAAAGUGAGUAUCUGAUGUGCAUGUGGGAAAUAUUUACUUUUUGGUUGAUUACUUGCUCUUAUAGCUUAUAGUUUUUCCAGCUUUAUUGAGGUAUAACUAGCAAAUAAAAAUUGUAUAUAUUUGAAGUAUACA
rnacentral:lncRNA from 1 species